UACGUAGGGUGCGAGCGUUGUCCGGAAUUACUGGCGUAAAGAGCUCGUAGGUGGUUUGUCGCGUUGUUCGUGAAAUCUCACGGCUUAACUGUGAGCGUGCGGGCGAUACGGGCAGACUAGAGUACUGCAGGGGAGACUGGAAUUCCUGGUGUAGCGGUGGAAUGCGCAGAUAUCAGGAGGAACACCGGUGGCGAAGGCGGGUCUCUGGGCAGUAACUGACGCUGAGGAGCGAAAGCGUGGGGAGCGAACAGG
rnacentral:rRNA from 1 species